UUCAGUUCAUAAAAUUAUUUUCCUGACUUCACCGCUUCCCCCAAGUUCCCGGCAGAACCAUUCAAUCGCGACCCCUAAUAUCAAACCUGGCAAUUUUUUCCACUACGGCGUCUUUCGAUCUGCCUCUCUGCAUAAUCAGGAAUCAUGACUCUUGCACAAACUUACCAUUAUGGACAAAGUGGUCCUUAUUAUGGUGACUCCAUGUCCUAUGGUAACAGACACAAUGAUACUUCUACCAGCUCAGCUGUUACUGCUGACUACAAUCACCACUUCAAUGGAGAUUUUAAUUACAUGAGGAACUAUGGUGAUCGGCAUGACUUCUCCAGAAAUUGUAGGGUGUACAACUACAAUAACAAGUAUUAUGCUAAGCCUGAAGGUGCCCCUUCUUUGAAGAGGAGAAAGUUUUCGAAUUCUACUUGGGAAGACACUGGCAGGUCUUACCAACAACCCUAUGUUCAUGAUAAGAUUCCCUCUAAAUGGCCAAGCAUUUAUGGGAAUUUCUCUUCAAAUGACAGCACCUUCUAUAGUCAAGCCUCUUCGGCAUACGGCAGCCAUUUAGCUGUUGCUCCGACCACUAGGUCUAAUGUAAAUGUCCAUUACCCUACUUCCCCUAAGCGUGAUCGGUCAAUUUUUGAGGAUGAUGAUGAUGUGUUAUUUAUGUCGAGAGAUGAAAUUGAGAGGUUCUCUCCAUCAAGGAAGGAUGGUAUUGAUGCGAAGCAUGAAACUCAUCUGCGGUACUCAUAUUGUGCUUUCUUACAGAAUCUUGGACUCCAGCUAGAGCUGCCACAAACAACCAUUGCGACUGCUAUGGUUCUGUGUCACCGCUUCUUUGUUCGACGAUCACAUGCUUGUCAUGAUAGAUUUUUGAUUGCUACUGCUGCUCUUUUUCUUGCUGCAAAGUCAGAGGAGACACCUCGUCCUCUUAACAAUGUCCUGAGAGCAUCAUGUGAAAUUCUCCACAACAGGGAUUUUGCUUUUCUCUCCUAUACACUUCCUGUUGAUUGGUUUGAACAAUAUCGAGAGCGGAUUACUGAGGCAGAGCAAAUGAUAUUGAUGACUUUGAAUUUUGAGCUGAGUGUGCAGCAUCCAUAUACCUCUCUGACAUCCACACUCGAAAAGCUAGGCUUUUCACAAACUUUUUUGGUGAAUCUGGCUCUCAACUUGAUUAGUGAGGGGGUCUAUAGAAGGAUUAUCGUGCUCGCCUGUUUGAUAUUCUUAGCUGGCGGUUGAUAUGCUGUGCAUCCAAUCUUUUGUUUCCUUCUGAAGUUGACUGUCCAUAUCUUGUGGAUGCUUUUUUAAUGAUGACACCUUAAGCUUCGUCAUUGGCUAUAAAUGAUAGUGACAGAUGCUACAGAACCAGUUUUGCCAUGCCACUGAUCUAUUUUCCAUUCUCAUAGAUAGUCUAAUCUCAAUUCAACAUGUUGACUAUUCUCUCGGUUACAUACAGGAUACUGAGGGGUAGGUCAGGGAAUUCAAAAGAUGUUUGGGGCUGAUUUUAUCUACAGAUUCUGAUGAAAACUUAAUCAUUGACUUCCUGUAGGGAGAUAGUCAAUGUCCCAUAUCUUAAUAAUCUUCCUGUGAGUGGUGGUCUGCACUGGGUGGGAAAUUGUCAGAUGUUGAAAUUUUAGGUUGAGUUUGAACAAAAUGCACACACCAAUUUACAAUGGUGUUACUCACUAUGUGUGCACAUCUCUUUCCCUUGAUUUAUGGCCCAACUUUGCCUUCCUAACCCCAAUUUCACCCCAAAUGGACAAAAAGGGGGAUGAGUUGUGGUGAUUAUCGUGUAUCCUCGUCUUUCUUGUUGGCUGUAUGCUGGUGGUCUGUAGGACCAGGCUGAUCAUUGACUAAUACAUCAUAUCUUGCAUAGUAUGAUGUGUCACUAUGGGAUCUUUAGUUGUGCUUUAGGUUAUAAUCAGUGCCAACCAUGGUUAUGCUUUAGGUUGUAAUGAAUGCCUAGAGACGUGAUAGUUGUACCUUCUGCCUUAAAUGAUUUGAGGUGUUUCUCUGGCGUUCAAUGUCCAAGGAGUGAAGUUUUACUGGCCUGUCAAUCAUGUCAUCUCUUGGAGAUGACUUUGCCCAUUCAGUCUGUUCCUGAAUUGACGCUCUCUCUUAAGAUGCAGGCUUCUAUCAAUCUAAUCUAAAAAUUAGGAAAGAUUCUGAAGAAAAAUAGUUCAGAAAAAAAUUGUUCUUGACACCCUCAUUGAGAAUGAGGCAUGAAAUGGGAAUCUUGAAAUUUAGUUCUCCACAAGGUCAGAUGAAUUUGGAGUUUUACACCCGCAAACUCCAGGAGCUCUUAUACCUUUUUAUACUGUCGCUCUGGUGGGAUUGUUCAGACUGUUCUAUUGCAAGUCUGUCUUGUGAUCUUCUUAUACAUUAGUUAUAAUUAUUCAGUUGCUAUUACUAAAUAAAGAAACAAAUGUACUAGACAAGUUUUUGCCACAUUGAAGACUUGCAUUUGCUUAUUUAGUAUAACCUGCUGCACAUGGAAAAGGUAGUGACGAUUGCUGGAUGGAUUGAAUCUCUCUAUGACUACCAGUAAUGAUGGGCUUGCAGUAUGUGUUUGAGGUAAAUCUUUAUGGUGAUAUUCAUGAAGUGGAGAGAUGAUGAAAACAUUGGGUCUUGCCCAGCAAAGAUGUAAUGUACUUGUCUCAAUUGUUACUUGAGUUGGUAUUGGUUGUUGGUCGUUUUUCUUUGAAGAUUCUGUGUUGUUGGGACACAGCAUGUGCUCUAUAUAAAUUAUUAUUCACAAAUAAUAUGUCCUGCAUUCCAUGAUUAGUUUAAUCUAAUCAUGGUAUUGCUGGAAAAGAAAAGAGUCCUGCAUUUGUCUUCCAUUUUUUUACACUCCGAGAUUGUGGAGGAAAGUUCUUUUUGCUUUCUGGGAGUUGUAUGGGUGGUAAGAUCUGUUUAAACACCACAUGAAAAGGGCAGUGGGCAUCUAUGGCCUUGUGCCUUCCUUUUUGCUCUGAUUCAAAAAUCUUUAUAUAUUUCCAGAAAAUAAUUUGCCAACCAAAAAAGUUAGAAUAUGUUCUCAUCUUCUAUUAAGAUCCUAUUUUUUAUUUCCUUGCAUUCAUUUAUUUAUAUAUAUCUCUAUGUAUGUAUAGCAUAUAUUUGCCCACAACUAUGUACAGUCUGCGAAGUGGUGCAUUUAGCUUUCAUGUGCUUGUCACAUGAUUGCUUGAAAGAAUUGUAACAAAUUUUAGAUUAUAUUAUGUAUAUGAAAUCCAGAAGCAUAGAAGUCUCCAGUUGUGUGUGUUUUGACUUUCGAAUAAAGGAGCAGAAGCUACUGGCAUUGAAUUCAGAACAUCAAUGCGUUCAAGUUGCAAAAUGUGUUGGUUGUUCCUGUUUACAUAUUCAUUUCAUAUGCAUGUAUUUCUGGAGUUGGUAUGCUGCUGCAGCAGAGCUCUGGCUUGAUUCCCUCGCUAGGUGGAUAAAACAUAGUUGCUAUAUUUUGGUACAAUAUCAACAUUCUGCAGAAGAUUCUUGGGUUUUUCCCAACUCAGUUGCUGAUUGUCUAGUUGGUAAGGUUGAGAAGUUCGCUGUGGCUUCAGUUCAAACCCCACCAGAUAGCUGCCGGUGCUGCAUACCUUGCUGCUAAGUUUCUGAACAUGGAC